CUCUGGGACAGCUCAGUCAGGAGAGCAUGAGACUGUUAAUCUCAGGGUUGUGGUUUUGAGCCCCACCUUGGGGG